rnacentral:rRNA from 1 species
UACGUAGGGUGCGAGCGUUGCCCGGAUUUAUUGGGCGUAAAGGGCGCGUAGGCGGCCACGCACGUCCGUUGUGAAAUCGCCCGGCUCAACUGGGCGGGGUCAGCGGAUACGGUGUGGCUCGAGCAAGCUAGGGGGCAAUGGAAUUCCCGGUGUAGUGGUGGAAUGCGUAGAUAUCGGGAGGAACACCAGUGGCGAAGGCGGUUGCCUGGGGCUUUGCU